rnacentral:rRNA from 1 species
AUUGAACGCUGGCGGCAUGCCUUACACAUGCAAGUCGAACGGCAGCACGGGAGCAAUCCUGGUGGCGAGUGGGCGAACGGGUGAGUAAUAUAUCGGAACGUGCCCAGUGAUGGGGGAUAGCCCGGCGAAAGCCGGACUUUAAUACCGCAUACGACCUACGGGUGAAAGCAGGGGAUCGCAAGACCUUGCGUCAUUGGAGCGGCCGAUAUCAGAUUAGCUUGNGGU